rnacentral:tRNA from 1 species
GUAAUUUUAAUAUAUAAAGUAUGUUUAACUUCCAAUUAAACAGUCCUUCACAGGAAUUUACA